UACGGAGGAUGCGAGCGUUAUCCGGAUUUAUUGGGUUUAAAGGGUGCGUAGGCGGGCUUUUAAGUCAGCGGUAAAAAUUCGGGGCUCAACCCCGUCCGGCCGUUGAAACUGGGGGUCUUGAGUGGGCGAGAAGAAUGCGGAAUGCGUGGUGUAGCGGUGAAAUGCAUAGAUAUCACGCAGAACCCCGAUUGCGAAGGCAGCCUUCCGGCGCCCUACUGACGCUGAGGCACGAAAGUGCGGGGAUCGAACAGG
rnacentral:rRNA from 1 species